UUAAAUAAGCAAUAAGACCUUUAUGAGUUGUUCUAGAUGUUCCCAUCCAUCGGUUGGCCAUAGUCUAGACGUUACAAACUUAUAAGGCAUGCUUCCCCA
rnacentral:sRNA from 12 species